GUUGACUACAAUAGAGACACCAGCUACAACCGGGUCCACUACUGGCUCCACACCGGAAGUGCCCACGACAUCAGUGAAAUCAACUACAACCGGCUCCAUUCCGGGCUCCACACCGGGAGGGACAACUUCAAAUGAAACAACAACAGUUGUU